rnacentral:rRNA from 1 species
ACCCGCUGAACUUAAGCAUAUCAAUAAGCGGAGGAAAAGAAACCAACAGGGAUUGCCCUAGUAACGGCGAGUGAAGCGGCAAUAGCUCAAAUUUGAAAGCUGGCCUUCUGGUCCGCAUUGUAAUUUGUAGAGGAUGCUUUUAGGCAGCCGCCGGUCUAAGUUCCUUGGAACAGGACGUCAUAGAGGGUGAGAAUCCCGUAUGUGACCGGCUCUGGCACCUUCUGUAAAGCUCCUUCGACGAGUCGAGUUGUUUGGGAAUGCAGCUCUAAAUGGGAGGUAAAUUUCUUCUAAAGCUAAAUACUGGCGAGAGACCGAUAGCGCACAAGUAGAGUGAUCGAAAGAUGAAAAGCACUUUGGAAAGAGAGUUAAAAAGCACGUGAAAUUGUUGAAAGGGAAGCGCUUGCAAUCAGACUUGGCUUCGGUUGUUCAACAGGUCUUCUGACCUGCCUAUUCAAUCGUUGCCAGGCCAGCAUCAGUUUCGGCGGCCGGAUAAAGGCCCUGGGAAUGUGGCUGUUCCUUCGGGGACAGUGUUAUAGCCCAGGGUGUAAUACGGCCAGCUGGGACUGAGGUCCGCGCUUCGGCUGGGAUGCUGGCGUAAUGGUUGUAAGCGGCCCGUCUUGAAACACGG